AUUGAACGCUGGCGGCAGGCCUAACACAUGCAAGUCGAGCGGAUGAAGGGAGCUUGCUCCUGGAUUCAGCGGCGGACGGGUGAGUAAUGCCUAGGAAUCUGCCUGGUAGUGGGGGAUAACGUCCGGAAACGGGCGCUAAUACCGCAUACGUCCUGAGGGAGAAAGUGGGGGAUCUUCGGACCUCACGCUAUCAGAUGAGCCUAGGUCGGAUUAGCUAGUUGGUGGGGUAAAGGCCUACCAAGGCGACGAUCCGUAACUGGUCUGAGAGGAUGAUCAGUCACACUGGAACUGAGACACGGUCCAGACUCCUACGGGAGGCAGCAGUGGGGAAUAUUGGACAAUGGGCGAAAGCCUGAUCCAGCCAUGCCGCGUGUGUGAAGAAGGUCUUCAGAUUGUAAAGCACUUUAAGUUGGGAGGAAGGGCAGUAAGUUAAUACCUUGCUGUUUUGACGUUACCAACGGAAUAAGCACCGGCUAACUUCGUG
rnacentral:rRNA from 1 species